rnacentral:rRNA from 1 species
CUGAUGCGCCAUGCCGCGUGUGUGAAGAAGGCCUUCGGGUUGUAAAGCACUUUCAGUCGUGAGGAAGGUGGUGGUGUUAAUAGCACUAUCAUUUGACGUUAGCGACAGAAGAAGCACCGGCUAACUCCGUGCCAGCAGCCGCGGUAAUACGGAGGGUGCGAGCGUUAAUCGGAAUUACUGGGCGUAAAGCGCAUGCAGGUGGUUUGUUAAGUCAGAUGUGAAAGCCCGGGGCUCAACCUCGGAAUAGCAUUUGAAACUGGCAGACUAGAGUACUGUAGAGGGGGGUAGAAUUUCAGGUGUAGCGGUGAAAUGCGUAGAGAUCUGAAGGAAUACCGGUGGCGAAGGCGGCCCCCUGGACAGAUACUGACACUCAGAUGCGAAAGCGUGGGGAGCAAACAGGAUUAGAUACCCUGGUAGUCCACGCCGUAAACGAUGUCUACUUGGAGGUUGUGGCCUUGAGCCGUGGCUUUCGGAGCUAACGCGUUAAGUAGACCGCCUGGGGAGUACGGUCGCAAGAUUAAAACUCAAAUGAAUUGACGGGGGCCCGCACAAGCGGUGGAGCAUGUGGUUUAAUUCGAUGCAACGCGAAGAACCUUACCUACUCUUGACAUCCAGAGAACUUUUCAGAGAUGAAUUGGUGCCUUCGGGAACUCUGAGACAGGUGCUGCAUGGCUGUCGUCAGCUCGUGUUGUGAAAUGUUGGGUUAAGUCCCGCAACGAGCGCAACCCUUAUCCUUGUUUGCCAGCGAGUAAUGUCGGGAACUCCAGGGAGACUGCCGGUGAUAAACCGGAGGAAGGUGGGGACGACGUCAAGUCAUCAUGGCCCUUACGAGUAGGGCUACACACGUGCUACAAUGGCGCAUACAGAGGGCAGCAAGCUAGCGAUAGUGAGCGAAUCCCAAAAAGUGCGUCGUAGUCCGGAUUGGAGUCUGCAACUCGACUCCAUGAAGUCGGAAUCGCUAGUAAUCGUGGAUCAGAAUGCCACGGUGAAUACGUUCCCGGGCCUUGUACACACCGCCCGUCACACCAUGGGAAGUGGGCUGCAAAAGAAGUAGGUAGUUUAACCUUCGGGAGGACGCUUACCACUUUGUGGUUCAUGACUGGGGUGAAUCG